rnacentral:misc_RNA from 1 species
AUGGAGUGGUAGGGACGAUAUGUUCGUACGUUGUUUGUAUAUGGGUAAAAUUGAAUUUUAAAAAUGUAUAUGUACUAUUAGUAAAUAUUGAAUCUCAUUUGGCUUCUUGUUGGGUUUAGUUUUUCGUAUUUUGAAUUUCUUAGUGAAAAUCUUAGCUUUGCGAAUAGUUGAUUGGCAUGCAUUAUGUAUGUUACAUUUGGGAUAUUUUUG